GGGCAUGUAGUUCAGUGGUAGAACGCUUCACUGAUAAUGAAGAGGUCGAAGGUUCGAUUCCUUCCAUGCCCA
rnacentral:tRNA from 1 species